CCUUGAGCAAAUCACUCUGUGCCUCAGGAGAUUCCUUGGGAUAUCUCUACAUCAGAGAUCAGGCUAUACUUUAAUGAAGAAACGUCAAAGCUGCUAACAGUUACACACGCUGGGACUCAGGAAGACCCUAGUGACCAAGGAUGGGGUCGUCAUGGAAACUAAUUCUGUUUCUGUCAGUCACUGGGUGUCUUUCAGAUUACUUUGUUUUGUCUUUUUGCUGAAGAACUAACUAGAGAGAAACCAAGUGGGACCACCAAUAAAAACAAAGACU
rnacentral:lncRNA from 1 species